UGAAAUAUAUCAGAGGUAGUUGUUUUUUCUAUUCCUUAUCUCUUCUUUCUUCUUCUCGCCGGACCAAAUCGAACACAGAAAAGAGAAAAGACUUCGCCCCAAAUCAAACUCAACCCUAAGUCCCCAAAAUCAAAUCUAGGAGGAGAAGUGGAGAACUCAGUCAAUUGGAUUUUUAACGAAACCCCUUUAUCCUAUUCUUGCUCCAUCUCCCUCUAAUACCUCAAGUUCGGGUUCUUGCUAACGGUAUUGAAGUGAAGCUACAUAGGAAUUCCCUUAGUGUGAUUGAACCACCUACAGCCUUGAGGAAGAUGAUGAUUUAUAAUGCAAGAACACACAAUGGAAUGUUUCAGAUAUGGAGAUUUUUUGUAUUGCAGGGAUAUUUGAUGAUCUUAGAGCAUAUUCCAUAAUCAUAGAUGACGAUUGAAUAACAAGGUUACAUGAAGAACAUAGAAUUAUGCUGGGAUUAAUCGUAGCAUCAAGCCCCUGCGAAGAGUUUUCCACCAUUGGAGUUUCUUAUUGUAUUUCUGUGUUGUUAGUUGGGUUCUGCUUUGACCCCCUCCAGAUUUUGAAAAGAACAGAAGUUUUGUUUCUUGAGACUACAAAUGGCUUUGUGCCUAGCAAAAUGCUUUUGUGUAGUUUGGAAGUACCAUUGGUAUACAUGUAGAUGGCUUUUAUUUU